GACGAACGCUGGCGGCGUGCUUAACACAUGCAAGUCGAACGAUGAAGAAAAGAAUCGAAGCUUCGGCAGAAAUUCAUUUCGGAUUAGUGGCAGACGGGUGAGUAACGCGUGAGCAACCUACCUCUUACAAAGGGAUAGCCUCGGGAAACCGGGAUUAAUACCAUAUAACAUUGUGACGAAGCAUUUCGAUGCAAUCAAAGCUACGGCGGUAAGAGAUGAGCUCGCGUCCCAUUAACCGGAUGGUGAGGUAACGGCUCACCAUAGUGACGAUGGGUAACCGGCCUGAGAGGGUGAACGGUCACACUGGAACUGAGACACGGUCCAGACUCCUACGGGAGGCAGCAGUGGGGAAUAUUGCACAAUGGAGGGAACUCUGAUGCAGCGACGCCGCGUGAGUGAUGAAGGAAUUCGUUUCGUAAAACUCUGUUCUAUGGGAAGAAAAGGACUGUACCAUAGGAGAAAGCUCCGGCUAAAUACGUG
rnacentral:rRNA from 1 species